AUACGGAGGAUCCGAGCGUUAUCCGGAUUUAUUGGGUUUAAAGGGAGCGUAGGCGGAGGAUCAAGUCAGCUGUGAAAUGUAGACGCUCAACGUCUGCACUGCAGUUGAAACUGGUCCCCUUGAGUGCGUAAGGGGCAGGCGGAAUUCGUCGUGUAGCGGUGAAAUGCUUAGAUAUGACGAAGAACUCCGAUCGCGAAGGCAGCUUGCCGGGCCGCAACUGACGCUGAAGCUCGAAGGUGCGGGUAUCGAACAGGAUUAGAUACCCUGGUAGUCCGCACAGUAAACGAUGGAUACUCGCUGUCGGCGAUAUACGGUCGGUGGCCAAGCGAAAGCGUUAAGUAUCCCACCUGGGGGGUACGCCGGCAACGGUGAAACUCAAAUGAAUUGACGGGG
rnacentral:rRNA from 1 species